UACGAAGGGGGCUAGCGUUGCUCGGAUUGACUGGGCGUAAAGGGCGCGUAGGCGGUUUGCAUAGUCAGACGUGAAAUUCCUGGGCUUAACCUGGGGGCUGCGUUUGAUACAUGCAGGCUUGAGUUCGGAAGAGGGUCGUGGAAUUCCCAGUGUAGAGGUGAAAAUUCGUAGAUAUUGGGAAGAACACCGGUGGCGAAGGCGGCGACCUGGUCCGAUACUGACGCUGAGGCGCGAAAGCGUGGGGAGCAAACAGGAUUAGAA
rnacentral:rRNA from 1 species